CCUCUUCUAAAAAGCACUUGUUGUGUCUGUGUAGUGACACUCUGAGUUGUCGAGGAAGAGGAGAUGAAUACACCGCUUUUGGGUGAAGGGUUGGCAACAUGUGCCUUACUGCUUCAAUCGGUGGUGUGACAUUU